UACAGAGGUCCCAAGCGUUGUUCGGAUUUACUGGGCGUAAAGGGUGCGUAGGCGGUUGGGUAAGUCUGACGUGAAAUCUCCGGGCCUAACCCGGAAACUGCGUUGGAUACUACCUGACUAGAGGAAUGGAGGGGAGACUGGAAUACUUGGUGUAGCAGUGAAAUGCGUAGAUAUCAAGUGGAACACCAGUGGCGAAGGCGGGUCUCUGGGCCGAUACUGACGCUGAGGAGCGAAAGCGUGGGGAGCGAACAGG
rnacentral:rRNA from 1 species